rnacentral:rRNA from 1 species
CCUACGGGAGGCAGCAGUGGGGAAUUUUGGACAAUGGGCGCAAGCCUGAUCCAGCCAUGCCGCGUGCGGGAAGAAGGCCUUCGGGUUGUAAACCGCUUUUGUCAGGGAAGAAAUCCCUUGAGCUAAUACCUCGGGGGGAUGACGGUACCUGAAGAAUAAGCACCGGCUAACUACGUGCCAGCAGCCGCGGUAAUACGUAGGGUGCAAGCGUUAAUCGGAAUUACUGGGCGUAAAGCGUGCGCAGGCGGUUAUGUAAGACAGGUGUGAAAUCCCCGGGCUUAACCUGGGAACUGCACUUGUGACUGCAUAGCUUGAGUGCGGCAGAGGGGGAUGGAAUUCCGCGUGUAGCAGUGAAAUGCGUAGAUAUGCGGAGGAACACCGAUGGCGAAGGCAAUCCCCUGGGCCUGCACUGACGCUCAUGCACGAAAGCGUGGGGAGCAAACAGGAUUAGAUACCCUGGUAGUCCACGCCCUAAACGAUGUCAACUGGUUGUUGGACGGCUUGCUGUUCAGUAACGUAGCUAACGCGUGAAGUUGACCGCCUGGGGAGUACGGCCGCAAGGUUGAAACGUCAAAUGAAAUUGACGG